rnacentral:rRNA from 1 species
CGCUUUAGUCUCCGACCGUGCGUUUCGACAGGUGGCGUGCCGUUCUCGCCACACGGUAGAGUCCUAAUAGUCCCCGUAUUCGCGUAUCGUAGUAGUCCUAAUAUAGUCUAAUAGUCGUGCGGUAGACGGAACCUAACCUAGGUACCGACCACUUCGUCGCUAGGUACCGCGUCGGUGUAGACGUGUUCGUAACGAAGAAGACGAGGAGCAGGGUGAGCAAGAUGACGAGCAGCCACGCUUUUGUACCUCGGCCUCCUCGUUCGUCGCCGACUUGGACGGCGAGGGUGGAAGGGGAGGCGCGCGCGAGGGCCACUAGCCCGUGGAGGUGGAGCAGCCGAGGGAGGGAGUGCAGAGGAAGGCGCUGGAGAGGGUAUUUGUGCCGGCCCUGGAGUACGAGGAGGCGGAGCCGCGCCACUUGUGCCACCAGCACAGGAGCGGCGCGCGCCGGCGCAGGUAGGAGGCGUGCGUGCUGGUGCGCGACCGCAGGUCCAGCGCGAGGCGGCAGCGGCUGUAGUAGAAGAUGUUCGCCUGGCUGCAGCGGAAGCGCGGGAUGCCGCUCGGGACCUCUGUCCGGUCCUUCCACCAGUGGUGCGUGUACGAGUCGCGGUUCUUCCACGUGAGCAAGGCGGUGCUGGCGCUCCUCCUCCGCGCGUAUCGGCACCGGUUCUAAGCGCGGCGCCGCCGCUGGCGCCUCUGGCGCCGCGGCCACCUGUACUCGCUCGAGGACCCGAGCAUGCGCUUGCUGCACCACACGGCCCGCCACGAGCCCUCUUUGGUGGCGCUGCUACCGUCCUUGUUCGACGAGGCGGUCGACUAGCUGCAGUUGUACAGCGAGGACCCUCCCAAGUUGCAACUCCUAAUGAAGGGCUCGAACCGUCACCGCCUGCACAAGUGGCCGUACCACCACACGGGGUCCCGAUCCUCCCAAGCGUUCUCCACCCUGUUUGACGAGGUGUUCGAGUAGCUGCUCGUGCCCGCGGUCGCGCUCGUCCUGCUACGGUCGCGUCUGAAGUAUGUGCACAACGAGCGGGUCGUCCUUCUCAUGCCGGAGUGGUGUCUGUUGCAGUUCCGCUAGAACGACCUGUACAAACUUCGCCCCUGUCUCUGCUGUAUAGACCACGACCUUAAGCGCUACCGUCUCGACUACUUGUUGGGCGUGCAGUACCGGUUUGACGUUCGCCUCCACUCCUCCUCCGCACGCGGUCGCCACCGGCAUCCGUUCCUGCUUCCUCUAAAUGUUGUUCUGCACCAGUGUCUCCUCCUCGAGCCGCUGUACCGGAUGGACUUCCGGUGGCACUUCCUCUGCGACUCCGACGUGGGCGGCCACGGCGACGAGGAGGCCAGGAGGGGGUGGAGAGCUAGCGGCUGACGCUCCAGCUGCCGAUGCGCUAGGGACGGCCCUGCGCCGAGUACCAGUUGCGCACCCGGGAGCGCUCCCUGGGGCGCAGGACCCUCCGCGGCCUGCUCAAGCGCGGCCUCUCCAAAGAGGUCCCUCCGUCGCGCCGCCGCCAGCUGUCGUUCCCUUUCCUGAAACUCAAAGACGGCAAGCCCAGGCCCGCCUCCUAGACGGGGCCGUAUUUGAAGCGCUUGUGACGGCAACUCUACUACGAUCGCUUGGAAUACAUGGUAAAGCUGACCCUCGACGGCCGCCCCUGCUUCCUCCAGCUGUACUCACUCCACAAGUCGAACAGCUAGGCGGCAUUCCUCUUCGAGGAGGAACAAGGUUGAGGUUCUAGAACGGCGCUCCUCACUCCCCCACGAACAACAAAGCUUUUUUGUAAAUUAAUCCACACACGUUAGUUAGGCGUAUACGAGGUUCUGGAAUGUUCUAUUAUGUAUUUUUCAGUCUUCGGUGAUAGAGUGUUGUAAACAGCUAUAAAGAUAGUUGAAUUACUUCCCCAC